rnacentral:rRNA from 1 species
CAGCGUCACAAGUGGCAUCCGUUAUUAUUGGGUCUAAAGAGUCCGCAGCUGGGUUUAUAAGUCUCCUGUGAAAGCGUUAGGCUAAACUUAACGAAUGGCAGGAGAAACUGUAGAUCUUGAGACCGGGAGGAGUUGGAGGUAUUUCUGGGGUAGCGGUAAAAUGUUCUGAUCCCCGGAGGACCACCUGUGGCGAAGGCGUCUGACUAGAACGGAUUCGACGGUGUGGGACGAAAGCUGGGGGAGCGAACCGGAUUAGAUACCCGAGUAGUCC